AUAGUUGGCGGGGUAACGGCCCACCAAGUCUGCGAUCAGUAACUGGUGUGAGAGCACGACCAGUCACACGGGCACUGAGACACGGGCCCGACUCCUACGGGAGGCAGCAGUAAGGAAUAUUGGUCAAUGGACGCAAGUCUGAACCAGCCAUGCCGCGUGGAGGAUGAAGGCCCUCUGGGUUGUAAACUUCUUUUAUCUGGGACGAAAAAGGGACUUUCUAGUUCAACUGACGGUACCAGAGGAAUAAGCACCGGCUAACUCCGUGCCAGCAGCCGCGGUAAUACGGAGGGUGCAAGCGUUAUCCGGAUUCACUGGGUUUAAAGGGUGCGUAGGUGGGCAGGUAAGUCAGUGGUGAAAUCUUUGGGCUUAACCCGAAAACUGCCAUUGAUACUAUUUGUCUUGAAUAUUGUGGAGGUCAGCGGAAUAUGUCAUGUAGCGGUGAAAUGCUUAGAUAUGACAUAGAACACCAAUUGCGAAGGCAGCUGGCUACACAUAUAUUGACACUGAUGCACGAAAGCGUGGGGAUCAAACAGGAUUAGAUACCCUGGUAGUCCACGCCCUAAACGAUGGAUACUCGACAUACGCGAUAUACUGUGUGUGUCUGAGCGAAAGCAUUAAGUAUCCCACCUGGGAAGUACGAUCGCAAGAUUGAAACUCAAAGGAAUUGACG
rnacentral:rRNA from 1 species